GGGGGGGGGGCGGCGCCCGCCGCCUAGCGACGCUGCGCGGCCUCGGCGGCUCCGGGCGAGAAUAAACUCCAGGGUGUUGUUUCACUAACCAAAGAAUGAUCUGCGGGAAACACUGAGCUACAGACAUCAUUCCUUUGGGAAGACAAGGCCUGGGGGAACAGAUCACCAGAAGAACAUGAUAGCUUGAAACAUUCAUUUGGAAAAUACCUUUAUGUAGCUGAUAUGAAAAGAAUGUUGAGGUAUUCUGCUAUGGAUAAAGGAAUGGAGAAAAUGGGAAAUAUAUUCUUGAUUGAAUGCCUCCAGUGUUCAGCCUCUCAAUGGAUCAAAUCAGAUGAAUACCCAGCAGGAGAUGCAUCCUAUGAGACUCUUCCUGGAUGCAUUUUGCGAGGGACUCCUCAAAUUCCUCUCAAGGAAGUACAAACCUUUGUAUUGCAGUAAUGUGUGAUUCCUGGUUCCUGUUUUAAGUGCUACAGAACCAUCAUUGACUGGUUUACUGAUGCAGGCUUGGAUCUUUCCCAACUUUCCCCUGUCUAAAAUUGAAGACGCUAAUAAUAUUAUAUAACAUCACCUACAUUUUCCGUUUGGUUUCCUUCAAGGGGGAUUUUGCUUACUGUGUAUAAUUUUUUUCUGCUCUAAGAAAGUUGUUCUUUCAGUUUGAUACUACCCCAUAAGUGAUUUAAAGAAUGCUAGAUUAUGGAUAAAAGUUAGUUUUCUGUAUUUGUUACUUUUCACUUCUCAUAAAAGAGGGUUAUCCAUAGUCUGCACAGUACUUCCCAUACCUGUAUGUCAAAUACACUUCAUGAAAUACCCCUUCCCAAUUUCUGUGGUGUAAAUGGUCUGUCUACAGUAGAGGGAAAAAUAUUGGUCUUUUAACUAGUGCCUCCUAACGGGGGUUAGAUUGGAGGCCAUUUGUUUUCCAAGUAGAAUGCUUGACAAACAUGAUUUCUAGGGUUUGGGACUUUUUGUCCAGAACAGUUAUACGCACACAUACAACAUUCAUAAAAUCAUAAUAUGAUCAAUUCUAAUAACUUUAUCAUGUCUCACUGCUGUUACUUCAUUUAAAUGGUUAGUUUGAAAUAUUCUCACUGAACAAAAUCUGAUAUCUAGUAAGCCCCAUUAAAGGAAUACGUAACAAUCUUUACAGGAUCUUAAACAUACUCAUAUCUUCUGGCUGAAUUUGUCAUUUCAGUUCUGAAUUUUGUUCAGUUAGUUGAAACAAAGGAGAAUUUUCUGAAAGAAGCUAAAAAUUUCUGCAUAAGUACAGUUCUUCAGUUAUACAUUUCUCAGCUUUCUGUUAGAUGUUUGACCCGUAUAAUCGAUAUUUCUGAAUAACUGGGCAGUUUGUGAAUUCCUGUACUCCAAAAGACAAUGAUAGCAAUAAAUCAAGGAUUUUGUUUUCAAGAGGGUAGCAAUUGUCCAACUAAUUUUCAAGAAACAUACCAAAACCAUACAAAAGUCUAUUUUUAUUGGUCAUGCAUUGGCCUUCAUUGGUAUUAAAAAUUGUCCCCAAGUUGGGCGCUUUGGUUUCCUUUUAACAGUUCCGAGUUGUCAGAUACUAUGCAGUUUUCCAAAUCAGAAAUACUGAGUAUAUAAAAAUUAUUUAAUACAUACAACAAGUGCUCAUGUUGUCACAGUCAGUGCUUAGAACUUUAUCACAUCUCCCUACAAUUUAUGCUUGCUGUAUUGUCUUGUGUGUUUUCUGCCUUGUAAUUCUGCUUCUCUGACUGUUGCUAAUUUUCUGAAACUCAAGCUGCCUCAGAAGGAUCACCAGUAUUCUUCAGCCCCACGUGAUUUUUUUUUUAAUUCAGUCAUAAGAUUGUCCUUCAGA